rnacentral:tRNA from 1 species
GGAAAGGUGGCUGAGUGGUCGAAAGCACCGGUUUCGAAAACCGGCGUGCCGUACGGUACCGUGGGUUCGAAUCCCACCCUUUCCG